GCAGUGAUGGAGUGACUCUUUUAGCCAAGAGACUUGCUGGUACCAUAAGAGGCAAUGGCAAUGGUGGACAGGGAUCAGUGGAUGCUCCUGAGAGCUAGGGUCCUCAGAAGCUGACCAGGAAUGAUGACCCCUGAUGCCAGACCAGGCAAUAGCACUUCCUGGCAGUCACUUUAGGAAGGUGAGGAGCUGCUGCUGCUCCCUCUGUAUACCAUCACCCACUCCAUUUGCUGAGACAGGGGAGGGCCACAAGAAUUCGCCCACCCCUGCUGCAGCCUCCUCCUUCUCAGACAUCAAGUCCUUCCCAAGUACCUGGGAUGAAUGAGUUUUGUUCCAGAUGGAAGAAUCAAGACGGAGUGAGACCUUCCUGCUUCAACCUGAGCGGGAUCUAAAAUUGACUGAGCAGACAUCAAAAAAACAUGUGUGUGCACGUACAUGUGCAUGCCCUAGAGGGAACACUGGUUCCUCCAUUCAUCAUCUCAGGUCCUGCUCAUGGCCCCGCCACUAAAAGAAAUCCAGUUGGUGGGGACUAGAGGCAGGGCCUUUUCAGUUGUGGCCCCUUGGCUUUGGAAUGCCUGCCCUGAAGAAUUUUGCCAUGCUCCCUCCCUCAGUGUUUUUUAAAAAACAACUAAAAACACAUCUUUUUAAAGAGGCUUUUUAUGCUCCAUCUUUGGUUAUAUCUGGUAGGUUCUUUGGUGUUUAGUUUUUAUUAUUCUCAAUUUUUUAGCUUUUAAAAUAACUUUUAAUUUGAAACUCAAUAGUGAUUGUGGUUUUUAACCUGACUUUUAACUUGUUUACUUAAUUUGGUUAAUUUAUUACUUUUAUUGUAUAUUAUAUCUAUUUUAUUGUUGUGAGCCACCCUGAGCAGUAGUGCACUGGAGGGGUGCCGUAUAAAAAUUUUAAAUAAUAUAAAAAUGUACCAUUAAUUGAUUUACUCAGAACUGAUGAUUAAUAAUCAGAAUUGAUUUCUUGAUUUACUCAGAACUGAUGCCAUGUGGCAUAGAAUGCCUAGUUUUUGGUUUUAGUAGUGAAAUCUUCAUAUGUAAUGAUUCAAACAUUUUGUAAUUUUGAAUGUGUAUUAGAUAUUUUGAAAAAUACAAAAUAAAACAAUUAAGAG